UUUUCAUCAGGGAAAAUGUGCUCCUCUUUUGGAAAAUCCUGGCUUCCCCCCUGGGUACACAUACAUGUGUAUAUAGUCUGGUGACUUAAACGUGUUCAGUACGUACCUUACUCUAAUUCAGAUACUUGCUCAAACAUGACUAUUGACUGAGUUGGGAAUCAAUAUUUAAAAAGCACUGAGGCAAAAAACAAUGCCAGAUGUUCCCCACUCCUUGUUUCCUACAAUGAAUGCAAAAACGAUUUAUUUAAAGGGGAAGACAAAUAGCAAACACCGUGUGUUGUCUCUAAUUGACUAUGUGUAAAAAAUAGCUAGUCUUAUAGGCCCAAAUUCACAAAGGUUGAAUUAAUAGGCCAUAUUUUAAUUGUUUAAGGACUGGUAUGGGUUUAAGAGGAAAAGUGCCUGUUCUGCUACUUGUAAUAUAUCAUUGCGAUCAGAAUAUGGUAGUAUAGAAUUAGUAUGUUAUCAUUCAAUUGGACAAGACUACACUUCAAGCUAAAUGAAAGUAGUUGCAGUAUAACAUUGAUUUCAUGAGAAAGUCUCUAACAUCAAGGUUAAGUAUUACUAUAUCAUCAUGGAUCUAGAUAUGGUGCAGUUUAAUUCAUAAAUUGAACUUUGUGAAAUCAUAAAAUCUAAGCUAAAAACGAUCAAACUGAAGAUCACCAACACAGAUAGGCACACAUGGGACAGUGUAUAUUAUUAUUCUGGAAUAAAAACCUGCCGGAAGUGCGCUAAUCCACGCUUAAUUUGCUUAUUUCUCAGCAAUUACAGUUUCUUCCAGAAUCCUUUGGCACCUAUUUUUUAUUUAUACAAAUAGACACUUGGGUGGUCAUGGUCAUAUUGGAUUCUGUAAAAUGUCAUUUUGAGAUUGUUACUACAACUGACAGUUAUCUUUAACAGAAUGUUGCCUUGAAAUAGGUAAUAAACAUGGUCAGAUUUGAGAAGAUGAGGACUGGAGGAUUGGGCUAAUGAGGCUGCUGGUUCGUACACAUUUUAAAGCUGAAUUGCAGAUUUGGUAGGGGUAAAACCUCAACACGCCCAAACAAAUGAUAAAUUGCCAAUUUGUCUAUUGCCAACUUGUCCACUGAUCACGUGGUCUACCUCCAUUUAGUCUAAUUCUAUUCCGUUCAUCAACAUUUCGUCUAACAAGCAUUUGGUCCAAUAACCAUCUAGUCCAAUCCUCACUUCGUCUAAUCACCGGUUCGUCUAUGACCAUUUCGUCUUAUAUCUAGUUGGUCUUAUAUCCACUUUAUUUGCAUUCAUUUUGCCCUAUUAACACUAAGUCCAAUUAGACCAAAUGGCUAAUGGACGAACUGGUUAUUAGACAAAUUGGUGAGUGGACGAAAUGACAAUGAGACCAUGUGGAGAGUGGACAAACUGAUUGUAGACCAAAUGAUAGUAGACAAGUUGGUAAUUGGACGAAUUGGCA